rnacentral:rRNA from 1 species
GACGAACGCUGGCGGCGUGCUUAACACAUGCAAGUCGAACGGAAAGGCCCUGCUUUUGUGGGGUGCUCGAGUGGCGAACGGGUGAGUAACACGUGAGUAACCUGCCCUUGACUUUGGGAUAACUUCAGGAAACUGGGGCUAAUACCGGAUAGGAGCUCUUGCUGCAUGGUGGGGGUUGGAAAGUUUCGGCGGUUGGGGAUGGACUCGCGGCUUAUCAGCUUGUUGGUGGGGUAGUGGCUUACCAAGGCUUGGACGGGUAGCCGGCCUGAGAGGGUGACCGGCCACAUUGGGACUGAGAUACGGCCCAGACUCCUACGGGAGGCAGCAGUGGGGAAUAUUGCACAAUGGGCGGAAGCCUGAUGCAGCAACGCCGCGUGCGGGAUGACGGCCUUCGGGUUGUAAACCGCUUUCGCCUGUGACGAAGCGUGAGUGACGGUAAUGGGUAAAGAAGCACCGGCUAACUACGUG